CCUACGGGGGGCAGCAGUGGGGAAUAUUGGACAAUGGGGGGAACCCUGAUCCAGCCAUGCCGCGUGUGUGAAGAAGGCCCUCGGUUUGUAAAGCACUUUCAGUGAGGAAGAACGCCUGGUGGUUAAUACCCAUCAGGAAAGACAUCACUCACAGAAGAAGCACCGGCUAACUCCGUGCCAGCAGCCGCGGUAAUACGGAGGGUGCGAGCGUUAAUCGGAAUUACUGGGCGUAAAGCGCGCGUAGGUGGCUUGAUAAGCCGGUUGUGAAAGCCCCGGGCUCAACCUGGGAACGGCAUCCGGAACUGUCAAGCUAGAGUGCAGGAGAGGAAGGUAGAAUUCCCGGUGUAGCGGUGAAAUGCGUAGAGAUCAGGAGGAAUACCAGUGGCGAAGGCGGCCUUCUGGACUGACACUGACACUGAGGUGCGAAAGCGUGGGUAGCAAACAGGAUUAGAUACCCCAGUAGUC
rnacentral:rRNA from 1 species